rnacentral:rRNA from 1 species
GACGAACGCUGGCGGCGUGCCUAAUACAUGCAAGUCGAACGCAUUUUCUUUCACCGUAGCUUGCUACACCGAAAGAAAAUGAGUGGCGAACGGGUGAGUAACACGUUGGUAACCUGCCCAUCAGCGGGGGAUAACACUUGGAAACAGGUGCUAAUACCGCAUAAUUCCAUUUACCGCAUGGUAGAUGGAUGAAAGGCGCUUUUGCGUCACUGAUGGAUGGACCCGCGGUGCAUUAGCUAGUUGGUGGGGUAACGGCCUACCAAGGCUGCGAUGCAUAGCCGACCUGAGAGGGUGAUCGGCCACACUGGGACUGAGACACGGCCCAGACUCCUACGGGAGGCAGCAGUAGGGAAUCUUCGGCAAUGGACACAAGUCUGACCGAGCAACGCCGCGUGAGUGAAGAAGGUUUUCGGAUCGUAAAACUCUGUUGUUAGAGAAGAACAAGGAUGAGAGUGGAAAGUUCAUCCCUUGACGGUAUCUAACCAGAAAGCCACGGCUAACUACGUG